rnacentral:rRNA from 1 species
UAGGGAAUCUUCCACAAUGGACGCAAGUCUGAUGGUGCAACGCCGCGUGAGUGAAGAAGGUUUUCGGAUCGUAAAGCUCUGUUGUUGGUGAAGAAGGAUAGAGGCAGUAACUGGUCUUUAUUUGACGGUAAUCAACCAGAAAGUCACGGCUAACUACGUGCCAGCAGCCGCGGUAAUACGUAGGUGGCAAGCGUUGUCCGGAUUUAUUGGGCGUAAAGCGAGCGCAGGCGGAAUGAUAAGUCUGAUGUGAAAGCCCACGGCUCAACCGUGGAACUGCAUCGGAAACUGUCAUUCUUGAGUGCAGAAGAGGAGAGUGGAAUUCCAUGUGUAGCGGUGGAAUGCGUAGAUAUAUGGAAGAACACCAGUGGCGAAGGCGGCUCUCUGGUCUGCAACUGACGCUGAGGCUCGAAAGCAUGGGUAGCGAACAGG